rnacentral:rRNA from 1 species
GGUAUUUUGACUAUACGAAGGUAUUGAAAUAAGGCUUUAAUUGAGUGCUAAGAGAAUGGUUUAACAAAAGAUAGCUUUCUUUUUUUUUAAAAUAAAAUUUAAUUUAAAAAUGAAGAAGUUUUUAUAAAUUUUUGGGACAAGAAGACCCUAUGAAUUUUUUUUAAAUGAUAUUUAUAAUUUUUUAUUAAAUUAAAAGAAAUAAGAGUUUAAGUUAAUUGGGGUGAUUUUUAAAGAAUAAAUAUCUUUAAAAUUAGGAAAAUUGGAUCCAUAAUUUUAUGAUUGUUUGAAUUAAAUACUCUAGGGAUAACAGCGUAAUUAUUUUGGAUAGUUCAUAUAGGUAAAGUAGUUUGCGACCUCGAUGUUGGAUUAAGAUACUUAUAUAAUGUAGUAGUUAUAUUAAGGAGUUUGCUCAACUUUUGAAAUCUU